rnacentral:rRNA from 1 species
AUUGAACGCUGACGGCAUGCUUUACACAUGCAAGUCGAACGGUAACAGGCCUUCGGGUGCUGACGAGUGGCGCACGGGUGAGUAAUGCAUCGGAACGUGCCCAGAGGUGGGGGAUAACGCAGCGAAAGCUGUGCUAAUACCGCAUGUGAUCUGAGGAUGAAAGCGGGGGACCAGGCAGCAAUGUUUGGCCUCGCGCCUUUGGAGCGGCCGAUGUCAGAUUAGGUAGUUGGUGGGGUAAAGGCCUACCAAGCCGACGAUCUGUAGCUGGUCUGAGAGGACGACCAGCCACACUGGGACUGAGACACGGCCCAGACUCCUACGGGAGGCAGCAGUGGGGAAUUUUGGACAAUGGGCGCAAGCCUGAUCCAGCAAUGCCGCGUGCGGGAAGAAGGCCUUCGGGUUGUAAACCGCUUUUGUACGGAACGAAAAGGCUCUGGCUAAUACCUGGGGCUGAUGACGGUACCGUAAGAAUAAGCACCGGCUAACUACGUG